rnacentral:rRNA from 1 species
GCGUUGUUCGGAUUUACUGGGCGUAAAGGGCGCGUAGGCGGCGCAACAAGUCACUUGUGAAAUCUCCGGGCUUAACUCGGAACGGUCAAGUGAUACUGUCGUGCUAGAGUACAGAAGGGGCAACUGGAAUUCUCGGUGUAGCGGUGAAAUGCGUAGAUAUCGAGAGGAACACCUGCGGCGAAGGCGGGUUGCUGGGCUGAUACUGACGCUGAGGCGCGAAAGCCAG